CCUACGGGCGGCAGCAGUGGGGGAUAUUGCACAAUGGGGGAAACCCUGAUGCAGCGACGCCGCGUGGGUGAAGAAGCGCCUCGGCGCGUAAAGCCCUGUCAGCAGGGAAGAAAAUGACGGUACCUGAAGAAGAAGCCCCGGCUAACUACGUGCCAGCAGCCGCGGUAAUACGUAGGGGGCAAGCGUUAUCCGGAUUUACUGGGUGUAAUGGGGGCGCAGACGGCGAGGCAAGCCAGGAGUGAAAGCCCGGGGCCCAACCCCGGGACUGCUCUUGGAACUGCGUGGCUAGAGUGCAGGAGGGGCAGGCGGAAUUCCUGGUGUAGCGGUGAAAUGCGUAGAUAUAAGGAAGAACACCAGUGGCGAAGGCGGAUGACUGGACGGCAACUGACGGUGAGGCGCGAAAGCGUGGGGAGCAAACAGGAUUAGAUACCCGGGUAGUC
rnacentral:rRNA from 1 species